rnacentral:rRNA from 1 species
GACGAACGCUGGCGGCGUGCCUAACACAUGCAAGUCGAGCGGGGUUGAAGCGAGAGGUAACUCGAACUUCUACCUAGCGGCGGACGGGUGAGUAACGCGUGGGCAACCUGCCUCAAGGUCUGGGAUAACAGCCCGAAAGGGCUGCUAAUACCGGGUAUGCUUGUGGCCUCGCAUGGGGCUACGAGCAAAGGGGAAACCCGCCUUGAGAUGGGCCCGCGUCCCAUCAGCUAGUUGGUGAGGUAACAGCUCACCAAGGCGACGACGGGUAGCCGGCCUGAGAGGGUGACCGGCCACACUGGGACUGAGACACGGCCCAGACUCCUACGGGGGGCAGCAGUGGGGGAUCUUGCACAAUGGGCGAAAGCCUGAUGCAGCGACGCCGCGUGAGCGAAGAAGGCCUUCGGUUGUAAAGCUCUGUCUGGAGGGACGAAGGAAGUGACGGUACCUCCGGACGGAAGCCACGGCUAACUACGUGCCAGCAGCCGCGGUAAACACGACGAGUACGU